AACAUGAAGGUUUGUAAUAAAAAUUUGUUUCUAUCAGCAUUGCUUUGCAUUGCUGUUGCAGGAGUUUUGGGUCAAGCUCCUAGUAAUCCUCCUACGUCUACGCCGGCGCCACCCACACCACCGGCUUCUACUCCUCCUCCGACGACUCAAGCACCGCCUACACCAACCGCCACUCCGCCACCGGUUUCUACUCCUCCUCCCACUUCAUCACCGCCCCCAGUGACAGCUUCUCCACCCCCAGUUUCAACUCCUCCACCCAGUUCUCCUCCUCCUGCAACUCCACCACCUGCUUCUCCUCCUCCUGCAACUCCACCUCCAGCUUCUCCACCUCCUGCCACUCCUCCACCAGCUUCUCCACCUCCCGCCACUCCACCACCUGCAACCCCACCGCCAGCAACUCCUCCUCCUGCUACCCCACCACCAGCUCCAUUGGCUUCUCCUCCAGCCACAGUCCCAGCUAUCUCUCCAGUACAAACACCAUUGACAUCGCCACCAGCUCCGCCGACCGAGGCCCCAGCACCUACCCUCGGGG
rnacentral:lncRNA from 1 species